GGGCUAUUAGCUCAGUCGGUUAGAGCGCACCCCUGAUAAGGGUGAGGCCCCUGGUUCAAGUCCAGGAUAGCCCA
rnacentral:tRNA from 1 species